GGGCGGGGCCGGGCCGGGGGAACUGGUGGAGAGAGUCCAGCGCAGAGCCGUGGAGGUGAUGGAGCGGAGCGUCCCCCGUGUGAGGAAAGGCUGAGGGAGCUGGGUCUCUUUAGCUUGGAGGAGACUGAGGGGUGACCUCAUUAAUGUUUAUAAACAUGUAAAGGGUGAGUGUCACGAGGAUGGAGCCAGGCUCUUCGCGGUGACAACCAAUGAUGAGACAAUGGGUACAAACUGAAACACAGGAGGUUCCACUUAAAUAUGAGAAGAAACUUCUUCUCAGUGAGGGUGACAGACACUGGAACAGGCUGCCCAGGGGGGUUGUGGAGUCUCUGGAGACAUUCAAAACCUGCCUGGACGCCUUCGUGUGUCACCUCAUCUGGGUGCUCCUGCUCCGGCAGGGGGAUUGGACUGGAUAUCUUUCCAGGUCCCUUCCAGCCCGUGUCAUUCUGCGAUCCUGUGGUUCUGUUCGCAGGACAGGCAGUGGCAGCCAGCUGCCGCUGCGCGGGGCCCUCGGUCGGCGCCUGAGGGGAAGGGGUCAGGCGGGGCUUCCCGGAGCCCCGGCGGCUUGGCUGCGGAGCCCGCGCUCGCCUCGCCGCAACCCGCGGGAGCGGUGCAGCCGUCCUGCUCCUGCGGGGCCGGGCAGGGCGGCCAAGGGCUGCCCCGGGCUAGGCUGGGGAGCCGGUGCCCGCCGGGGCGCCGCGGGAGCCCGAUCCGGGGUAGCCGGGCCGGGAACGGGUGCCUGACGGGACUUUGCGGGAUUGUUCUAAAACCCGUGAACACCCGGGACAGAGCUGCGGAUCCGGGCAGUGUUGCAUCCUCAGGCUCUGGUGCGGCAGGGGUCAGGGUGCGCUGCGCUCCUUGUGCUGCUCGGCUGUUCUCUGCAUCACUGCCCGUGUUCUCUAGUGCUUGGUAAAGCUUUCAAUAAGCUGCUGAUAUUGAUGCCUCUUGGAAAAGGCCACUUCUUGCUAUAUGGAGACAGACCUAAACGGAUGUCUAAUGUAGGUAAAUAAUAUAAUCAACCACUGUAACUAGCGGUAGAUUAAAAUAAAUGAGAAGGGAAUAAAUCAUAUUUGGAAUUUAGCUUCCCUUAAUAUUAUGUUUAGGAAAGAUUAAAUGCCCAUGUUUUCUGCUUAUGGUCAUGUUUUUCCAAGAAUAGGAUAUUGUAUUAGGUUAAAUUUGAUUCUGCAGUUAUGUCUUACAAAAUAAGGAGAGAAAGCUGUGUUUCUGAUGUGAUAACUUUUUAAAUGUUGAACAUUAUUUGUUAUACAUAUUAGAAUGGGGGGGAGUGGCUCAUUUGUUUUCACAGAAUUUACACUUACAAUAUUUCCUCAAAUUCUGUGAAUUUACUUCUCAUUUCAAGAGUAAAACAACAUCAUCUUUCUCUGUAAAAUGAUGCAGAAAUGUAUGUGCUCGCAGGUGCAGAACAAGCAAAUAUGAGAGACUCACAGAAUGGCUGAGGCUGGAAGGGAGCUCUGCGGGAGCUGCCUCGUCCACCACCCUGCACAAAGCGGGAUCAGCAGGGGCCAGUUGCUCAGGGCCGGGUCUGGGGGAGUUCUUAGUGUCUAAGUGUCCUCUCUGGGCAGCCUGCCCCAGCGCUCAGUCACCCUCACUGUUUAAAACACAAGCAAGUUGGUUUGGCUUUCUUCUUAUAUUUAAAUUAAAUUCCUGGUGUCUCAGUACAUGCCCACUGCCUUUUCUCCCGUCACUGGGCACCACUGAGAAGCUUGGCUCUGUCUUUACACCCUCCCGUCAGAUACGUGGUGAUAGCAUUCCCCUGAGCCAUCUCUCAGGGCUGAACAGUCCCUGACCUUAUAUGACAGAUGCUCCCAUCCCUUAAUUGUCCCAUUAAGCUAUAUUGGAUGCUAUAUUAUGAUAGUAUUCCCUAUACUGCUCAUACAGUUUUCUGUUGCUGCUUGCAGCAGAGAACAGCACAGAACUAUGUGCCACCAAAGCUGUCUCUCGGGAUCCCCAUUCUGCAAUGUACUUCUCUGAGCAAGGAGAUUCAGGGUGAAUUUAUACCUGUGCCAAGCUGCUUUCCCGAGUGUAAGUCAAGUGUCAGAGAGAAAUAAAUACAACAAAUCCUGCACCAUUAAAAAAACAUAUUCUUGCUAAGGUGUUACAACUCUGGAAGUAGCCGUGCUCUAGGGGUGGUGGUGCGGUUUGAUUUCACAUUUCCAAACACUGUUACAUGUUUCCAAUGUAUUAUUUAUUAAACAUGUAGGAGAGAAAAACAUUCUAAAAAAAAUUCACCUAUGAGGUUUCUUUAUAUAUCAUAAAGAAAACAAAGGGUUAUGAGUCCAUACUGUUAAAAAGGGAAAAAAAAGCUCUUGCAGUUCACCUCCAAUAUAACCAACAGCAUUUGGUUUAAAAUGUUGAUUUAUUGCACACUUAAUACAAGAAAAGAGAACCAACAACCUAUUAGACUUCACCCUCAGCUUUUAUUAACUUCCUUUUAUGGUAGCCUGAAUAGUAUUGUACAGGUCUACAUUAAGUUAUAUCAUCAUUUUAUUACCAAAGGGAAUGACUCGGCCUUGCCACCAUUUGCAGGAUUUGAUUUUUUCAGGCAACGAUACAGUUUAUUACACUGCUAAAAUUAAUUUUAUCUGCCCUGAUAAUACAUGCUUUGGCUUAGUAUGUGAACUGCCAUUUCCAAAACAAAGGAAUUAUGUCUAGGAUCAGGUAUCGUAAAGAAACAGCUGUAACAAGUAAAACACAGUUCUGUUACGAAUCUAAGUAGUUCCUUCUGCUGUAACUUUUCAAGUGCUUUAUUUAUGUGAAAAAUGACCUAGUGUGCUUGAAUUUUGAGUAAGUUCAAGUAUGACUUUAUUUAUUAUCCAUGUACUGUAUUAACAUUCACAAUUUAUUUUCAGUCCAAAAUCUUAGAUUCUUAUGUUACAUUUUUAUAAGAGAAAGUUGGAAAUUAUUUGGAGAUGAAAAUGCAAUGAUGUGAUCUGUAACCUGGAAUGUGGGAUGCAGGUUUUACUGGAGACGGUGCUGCCUGGUUAAACAAGGCAUAACACAGCAAACUGGAUUCCCGCUGGCUUAGGCUGAGGUCCCGUGUGUACCUGAGCUGGUCUAACAGCUCGCCCUUACCAAAGGAGGGGGGCUUAGUACCUCACUGCCUGUCCUUGCUCUCAGUCAUGUGAGGGCUUUCUCCCUCCCUUCUGCCAGGUGUGGCCCUCACUAGAUGCCUCUAAGAAUAGCUUAAAUUAUCUAAUUUAAGCUAAAACUAUGCAGUUGAGGGCUGGUUUUCUGCCAGUUUGUUGCGUUUGACACUUUUUAAUCUGAUUCCAUGAUUGCUAGGCCUGGCACAAGGUGAGCGGUGAGAGUGUGUGCCCAGGAGUAGCUGGGAGACAAGGGAGAGCAUAGGGAUGGAACAGGGUCUGUCCCUUCGGCACUGAUGAGAUGGUUGAUGGCCUCACUCUCUCUUCACAUUUUCUUAGGGUUUGGGGGGUGAGGGGUCCCCUCUGCUUGUCUGGGACGCUGCAUUCUGUGCAAACAGUGUAUAGUUUUUGUAAAGUGUGUGAACACGUGUAUACAGCAUGUGCUAUAGAGAAAAUGAGAGUUCCUCACUGAGGUAGUGAGGCAGAGUAAAGCUCUAUGAAUAAGCCUCAAGCCUUUAUUGUUGUAAAGCAGAUACCCAAAAUAUGAAUCAAAAAUUUUCAUAUAGGAAUGCCUGUAGAGAACUGAGACAAGUGGUUUCAGAAGCAUGAGCUGCAUCUAAGAAUUGUUAACACACGUUCCUAUUUAAGUGGUUAUUUAAAUAGCGAACUUUUUAUUGUCUAUUGGAGCAUCUAGGAAAGGUAUGAAUGAGACUGCGUGCUGGUGGCAUUAGGAUAUGGGACUGGGCAAAGCUGCCACAGCCAUUUAGAGAAAAGCAUUGUGGGUCGAGUAACCUGCUGGCCUAUGGAACACUUGCCAUAAGUAAAUUGUGAUUAAAGUGGAAAAACAAAAGAACAGUUGAUAUUGUGUGACUUAAAACUCUCCAGGCAGAACAGAGAAGACAACAGUAAAUAAGAAGUUGCCUUGGGGAGGUACAGAAAGAAAUGGCACAGCUGGGCCUGGGAUACCAACCACUGAGGUAAACCUCCAGGGAACUAGAAAAAUUGUAACGGAUGACUAGAACAAGGAACUCUGGACAUUUCAGAGCUGUGAGUAUACUGAAUCGCAGUUCAAAGAAGCUGAAUUAUCCUCACCCUUUGCAGCAUGCUGUUUUCAGGUUCCCAAGGCUCCAAGGGCUCGUGGCCUACAGACUGCAUUUUGAACUCUUCUUUACCAGGACUACACACCACUCCUUAAUUUUGCAUGGUGGUAUGUGUAUAUAAUAAAGCUGGUUUGAUAGAGGACUUGGUCUUUAUCUUGAUUGUGGAAGGUUCAACCACCCUGUUCUGGCAACAGCACAAUUAUCUCUCAAACAUCUUUACAAUCAGCCUAGUGAGCAAAGUCUCAAAUUGGAUGGAGCUGCUACUGCAAACAGGCUUUAACUGGUGGUGUAACAACACCGUCACGUUUUUUUUGCAAAUACAAUUGCUGGUAUUUCCUACAUUUUGUGUCACAGAUCUGUUUUAUGUUCCUAAUGCUUCAUUUGCAGUAGAUUUCAUUAUAGUUUUUUUAAUUUCCUGUAUUUUGUACCAAAGUUAGUGUAGAUUUCAAGAAGCCUGUAGUGCUGCCAGAAAAUGAUACUGUUUUCAUUUAAGUUUCAGUUCUUAUUCAUUGUCUAUUUUGAAUUGAGAUGAUUUGGGCUCACAAAUGCACCAUAACUGUUGGGCUUCUGUGUCCUGUUCAACUUGUAGGUGAAGGAGUCAGUGUGGGAAAGGCCAGCAGGAGCCAGCUGUUAGUCUGCCGUGUGUAAAAUGACUCUGUCACUGUAUAUGUAAAGCACAUGGAGACCCUGAGGCAGUAUCCUAAUUCAGGAGCAGCAGGACUUGACUGCCCAGGUGGAAUCUGUACUUGCAUGUAGAUUACGUUUAUGUUUUCUUUUUCUCUGAAGUCAUCAGAAGAACCACAAGUUAAUAAAAAUGCUGUGAAGAUGAUUUUUUAUUAUACAAUAUUUCAAAAUUGUUAUUUAACUGCUAAUGUGGCAGCAGCAGUGACCCAUCUGCACGGCCUUGCGCACGCUCCAGGACCCGGGCACCGUUGGCAAGGCAGAGCCGCUGGUGUGUCUCAUGAACAAGCUGCCUCACACUUACUGGUGUAAGACCUUAUUUAAAGUUGCCUGUGAUGUUCCCAAACAUUAGACUUCUGACAUUCACAUGGAACUGUUCCACAUCAGGUAUUUCCUGAAAGAGCAUCCUCAGGAUGCUUUCUUUUCAGUUUCAGAAAAAAAUGUUUCCAAGAAUAAUAUGUUGGGUAGAUGGUUCUCAUCACUCAUAUUUCUAUUAUUUUUUAAUUCAUUUAAAAUACCCACAGCAGUUUGUCUGAAAACCAGCAGCAUCCACACACUUUUGAGAAAGAAGCACAAUUUGGCAGAGAUGCUUACUCCUGUGUCAGAAAUGUUCUCAUAAAGCAAACAUAUUUGACUCACCUAUAACCUUUUUUUAAGAACUGUGAUUUAUCUGUAGUCAGCUGAGACUGGGCAGCUAAGUUGCAUCUGAUGCAUGUGGGUGUGUGAGGGAUUCGGGAGGACGUCUGCAGCGCCCCUGUGCUCUGCGACAGGCCUGGGCGCAGGAACUGGGGACAGUGGGGCACUUUCUUUUUGUCCUUAGGGCGCUGCUGCCCGCAGUGGGCACCGAUUCGGAACAUGGGAUGUGACCCUGCUUGCGUCACAGAAUCACAGAAUGUUUGGGAUUAGAAGGGACCUCAAAAGAUCAUCUAGUCCAAUCCCCCUGCCAGAGCAGGAACACCCACAUGAGGCUACACAGGAAUGUGUCCAGGCGGGUUUUGAAUGUCUCCAGAGUAGGAGACUCCACAACCCCCUGGGCAGCCUGUUCCAGUGUCUGUCACCCUCACUGAGAAGAAGUCUCUUCUCAUAUUUAAGUGGAACCUCUUGUGUUCCAGUUUGUAUCCCCCGAGCCGUGUGAGGAGGGAGCCGGAGGGCAGCUCCACAGCACUUCAGGCUGGCCCCAUGCAGAACUGUUUGCAACCUAAAUCAACAGGAGAGAAUGUGUUAUGCAAGAGAGGUCUAGCAAAAUUUGUAACAACUGCUUGAGUUUCACCUGGAAGAGACCAGAACAAACUGGAACUUCUAGUUGUCAGCAGAGGAAGACAGAGUUCAGUUUCAAGUUAAGACAAAUCCCUUCCCCGGCUGUUUCCUGCAGUUAUGUGAUCCCAGCCUUGAACACAACACAAAAGUCUGAGAAGGGGGUGUCUCCUUUGGAUACUGCUCGUGUGUUGGUGAGAACAUUUCCAUGGAUAAAUAUUAACAGACUAGGUUGAUGGUUAUUUCAAUAUCAUCUCACAAGUAUCUGUUCUUUUCCUUUCCCAUGGAAGAAUAAUAUCAAACAACUCAAGCUUUUUCUCCUAAGGUAGAAAAUUCCAAGAGAUGUGACUGAGUAUACUGAAGUACAUAUAUUUCAUAUGCAGCUCCCUGACUAUGCUGCUCUUCAGCUUGCCAUACAUUUCUAGAACUUUCCAGUCCACAGCACACACAGCUCCUAUUGAAAACAGAAGAUGAAUAAAGAGGGAUCCUGCACACCCAGAACAGAUACUCGCCUCUCUGUUUUCUGCUCCAGGAUGAUGGGACAGGAUGCCAUCCAGAGGGAUCUGGACAAGGUCAAGAAGUGGGCCCACGUGAACCUCAUGAGGUUCAACAAGGCCAAGUGCAACGUCCUGCACCUGGGCUGGUGCAACCCUCAUGUCAACACAGUCUGGGGGAUGAAGGGAUUGAGAGCAGCCCUGCCGAGAAGGACUCGGGGAUACUGGUGGAUGAAAGAUUGGACAUGAGCCAGCAAUGUGCCCUUGCAGCCCAGAAGGCAAAUUGUAUCAUGGGCUGCAUCAAAAGCAAUGUGGCCAGCAGGUUGAGGGAGCUGAUUCUGCCCCUUUGCUCUGCUCUGGUGAGACCCCACCUGGGGUCCUGUGUCCAGCUCUGGAGCCUCAGUACAGGAGAGACAUGGACCUGUUGGAGAGGGGCCAGAAGAGCCACAGAAAUGAUCAGAGGACUGGAACAGCUCUGCUGUGAGGACAGGCUGAGAGAGUUGGGGUUGUUCAGCCUGGAGAAGAGAAGGCUUCAUGGACACCGUAUUGUGGCUUUUCAGUACUUAAAAGGGGCCUAUAAGAAAGAUGAGGCCAGACUUUUUAGCAGGGCCUUUAGCAGGACAAGGGGUAAUGGUUUUAAACUAAAGGAGGGAAGAUUCAGGCCAGACAUGAGGAAGGAAUUUUUUACUAUGAGGGUGGUGAAACAGUGGCCCAGGUUGCCCAGGGAGCUGGGAGCUGCCCCAUCCCUGGAGACAUUCAAGGCCAGGCUGGAUGAGGCUCUGAACCACCUGAUGGAGCUGAAGAUGUCCCUGCUCAUUGCAGGGCGUUGGACUGAAUGAGCUUUCAAGGUCCCUUCCAACCCAAACCAUUCUAUGAUUUUAUGAGUCUAUGAUGGGUCUUAACACAAUGAAUUUCCUUAUGUCUGUGACAUUUCACUGCAAUUCUUUAAUGACAACAGAGCUGUUGAUAAAUAAAAUCUCAUGUCAGUCACAGCAA